rnacentral:lncRNA from 1 species
UGGGAAGGUAACAGCGUUCUGUGUCUAAGUUGCACUGGCCAUGUGACCACGGAAGAUUGUCUUCAGACAAAACGCUGGCUCUAUGGCUUGGAAACGGGGAUGAGCACCGCCCCCUAGAGCCAAACACAACUGGACAAAAAUUGUCAAGGGGAACCUUUACCUUUAAAAACUGCUGCAGGAUGUAAUUUUUGUUGCAACAGACAGGCAAGGCUACUGUGCUGGAUAUUGUGGGUCACUUGCAACAAAACACUGAACUAAAGGAAGAGUUCUCAAGGAAAAAAAUAAAAUAUAUUGAUCAGUGUUUUUUUAAUGAUUUCAUUUUUAUCAGGUUCUGAGGAAGAAAAGCAGGAUAUGAAUGCAUUUAAAAGACAAUCAUUUGAAGCAGAACAAGACCCUGGUUGCAUAAGCAAGUUAACGUCAAAAGGAAAAAAAAGUAUGAAAUAAUUCAUUAUUGCAAAAAUAGCCAAAAACAGAACUGGCUAUGAAGUUCUGGCAACCACUUGCAUAUCCCAGCCAAUCACCUCUCAGCAAGACAUCAGGCAAUCAGAGGAGAGUGGGAGAUCUUGAAGACUGGUGAGGACACUUAAGCUAUCAGAUCAGACUAUGAAAAGGGUUAGAGGGAAUUAGGUAUGUGGGGUUAAUAUCAGAUUUUCUCAGGGCGAGGAAGAAGAACUAGAAUGGGGCUAGAAAUGUUUUUAAUGUGAAAGGAAAAGCUACAAGACCAUUAUAGAAAGAGCACAUUUUUUUAGUAGAUACUAAAGUACCUGAAGAAACACAAUGGAGAUUCAUAUUAAAUCCUCAUCGUUGUUAUGUAUACAGUUCUGUACCUUGAAAAAAGAGAAACCAGUAAACUUUUAACCAUCUCUGACUGCGUUAAACUAAAACUUUCUUUCUGAAUUCCAAUUUUGCCUCAGCAUACAUUUCACUCCCCAGUACAAUAUAUUCAUUUGAGAGAAUUACCAAAGGCUUAAAAGGUGCUCUGCAUUAGUCUGAACAUAACUCUUAUUGCUUUUAUUAAUAUAAAACAACCUCAUAAAAUAUAGACAGCAUAUCAUUUUAAUCAAUCCUAGUCCCAGUCACAUUGUCUCAUUUCCUUCUUUAGCACUCUAGGGACUUCCUCAUUCAUAAUGCCACCUCUUAGCCAUUAUGCUACGCCAGUUUUCUGAAUAAUGGGGAAAGUCCUGCACUAUAUAAUGGUCCUUAUCACAUAUAUGCAAUAUUUUAAAAGGUGUAAAAGUUUCCAAUAGUGGCCAUCCGAACUAGCUCUGGGCAUGAAUGGAGAAAAAUGUAUGAAUGCUCCUUUAAUAGAAUAUUUGGAAUGACAAGAAAAUAAAUUGAAGAAGUGGCUAAUGCUAAAGAUAGUA